UAGAGUUUGAUCCUGGCUCAGAACGAACGCUGGCGGCGUGGAUAAGACAUGCAAGUCGAGCGCUUAUCACUUGGUAGCAAUAUUGAGUGGUAGGAGCGGCGCAAGGGUGCGUAACACGUGGAUCAUCUGCCUGGAAGUUCGGAAUAAUUCGGCGAAAGCCGGACUAAUGCCGGAUGUGGUUGGAAGACUAAAGUUGGGGACCGCAAGGCCUGACGCUUCCAGAUGAGUCCGCGGCCUAUCAGCUAGUUGGCGGGGUAACGGCCCACCAAGGCGACGAUCCGUAGCUGGUCUGAGAGGACGAUCAGCCACACUGGGACUGAGACACGGCCCAGACUCCUACGGGAGGCAGCAGUGGGGAAUCUUGCGCAAUGGGCGAAAGCCUGACGCAGCGACGCCGCGUGAGGGAAGAAGGCCUUCGGGUUGUAAACCU
rnacentral:rRNA from 1 species